CCGGCUCUCACCCAGUGGAGUUAAUUUCUCACUGGGACCUCCAUUAUGUUGUAUCCAAGCGAGUUAAAAAAUAUGCCACACUUUGAGACGAAUUAAGAGUCCUUUAUUAA
rnacentral:pre_miRNA from 10 species